CGGCGGACGGGUGAGUAACGCGUGGGUAACCUGCCUCAUACAGGGGGAUAACAGUUGGAAACGGCUGCUAAUACCGCAUAAGCGCACAGUACCGCAUGGUACGGUGUGGAAAACUCCGGUGGUAUGAGAUGGACCCGCGUCUGAUUAGGUAGUUGGUGGGUAACGGCCUACCAAGCCGACGAUCAGUAGCCGACCUGAGAGGGUGACCGGCCACAUUGGGACUGAGACACGGCCCAA
rnacentral:rRNA from 1 species